rnacentral:rRNA from 1 species
GAUGAACGCUGGCGGCGUGCCUAAUACAUGCAAGUCGAGCGAACAGACGAGGAGCUUGCUCCUCUGACGUUAGCCGCGGACGGGUGAGUAACACGUGGAUACCCUACCUAUAAGACUGGGAUAACUUCGGGAAACCGGAGCUAAUACCGGAUAAUAUAUUGAACCGCGUGGGUCAAUAGUGAAAGACGGUUUUGCUGUCACUUAUAGAUGGAUCCGGGCGGCAUUAGCUAGUUGGUACGGUAACGGCUUACCAAGGCAACGAUGCGUAGCCGACCUGAGAGAGUGGUCGGCCACACUGGAAGUGGGCCAGGGUCCAGACUCCUACGGGAGGCAGCAGUAGGGAAUGUGCCGCAAUGGGCGAAAGCCUGACGGAGCAACGCCGCGUGAGUGAUGAAGGUCUUCGGAGCGUAAAACUCUGUUAUUAGGGAAGAACAAAUGUGUAAGUAACUAUGCACGUCUUGACGGUACCUAAUCAGAAAGCCACGGCUAACUACGUG